CAGUUUGCCAGGCUCCAGCCAUCGAGCUUACAGUGGGCGGAGGACAACCAACUGACGGAAGGGAUGGGAAAGACAAAGUGGCAGGAAAAAGGACCCUGAGCAGAAAAUGGUCUCAACUGGGAGACAGAAGAAAUCUGAACGCACCACCGAGGGACUCUCUCACGGGGGAGUUGCAGGAGAACUAGAAAGCGGGAUGUCAUUAACCCUACGGAUGAAGACCUCAGGAAGCAAUCGGGAUUCAAUGCAGGGUAUUUUUAAGUGGGCAGCAGACAUUAAAGAGACUUAAUCAAGCGAGGAGCAGACUAAAUCCAAGGUCCCAGAGCCUAGGGGAGCUGGGGACUCCCCAAUAGCUGAACAGCUUCUGCUGUAAGGAGACAGUUGUCUGAGUCCAGCCAUCUCAAGGACACCUUCUCCAUCUUUCUGGCAGGAUCAAACAAGUUCAUGUUCCAGGCACAGGAACCAACUCCAAUGCUAAUUGGUGCAAAAAUGUGACAAUAACUUGGCACAGAUGUUUGUGCUUUGCAAGCUUAAAUAUUCUGUGAUGUUCUGGCUCUGGGUUGCAGUUCAGCUUCUGAGUCUGUUCUGUGGUCCUGGUCAAUCAGUAGUGGCUUGAUUACAAUAAAUUUUUAUCAUUUGCAUUGA